rnacentral:rRNA from 1 species
GGCAACCCUUGAUCCCAGCCCAUGCCCGCGUGUGUGAAAGAAGGCCUUUUUGGUUGUAAAACCACUUUAAGCGAGGAGGAGGCUCUUCUUAGUUAAUACCUUAGGAUGAGUGGACGUUACUCGCAGAAUAAGCACCGGCUAACUCUGUGCCAGCAGCCGCGGUAAUACAGAGGGUGCGAGCGUUAAUCGGAUUUACUGGGCGUAAAGCGUACGUAGGCGGCUUUUUAAGUCGGAUGUGAAAUCCCUGAGCUUAACUUAGGAAUUGCAUUCGAUACUGGGAAGCUAGAGUAUGGGAGAGGAUGGUAGAAUUCCAGGUGUAGCGGUGAAAUGCGUAGAGAUCUGGAGGAAUACCGAUGGCGAAGGCAGCCAUCUGGCCUAAUACUGACGCUGAGGUACGAAAGCAUGGGGAGCAAACAGGAUUAGAUACCCUGGUAGUCCAUGCCGUAAACGAUGUCUACUAGCCGUUGGGGCCUUUGAGGCUUUAGUGGCGCAGCUAACGCGAUAAGUAGACCGCCUGGGGAGUACGGUCGCAAGACUAAAACUCAAAUGAAUUGACGGGGGCCCGCACAAGCGGUGGAGCAUGUGGUUUAAUUCGAUGCAACGCGAAGAACCUUACCUGGUCUUGACAUAGUAAGAACUUUCCAGAGAUGGAUUGGUGCCUUCGGGAACUUACAUACAGGUGCUGCAUGGCUGUCGUCAGCUCGUGUCGUGAGAUGUUGGGUUAAGUCCCGCAACGAGCGCAACCCUUUUCCUUAUUUGCCAGCGGGUUAAGCCGGGAACUUUAAGGAUACUGCCAGUGACAAACUGGAGGAAGGCGGGGACGACGUCAAGUCAUCAUGGCCCUUACGACCAGGGCUACACACGUGCUACAAUGGUCGGUACAAAGGGUUGCUACUCCGCGAGGAGAUGCUAAUCUCAAAAAGCCGAUCGUAGUCCGGAUCGCAGUCUGCAACUCGACUGCGUGAAGUCGGAAUCGCUAGUAAUCGCGGAUCAGAAUGCCGCGGUGAAUACGUUCCCGGGCCUUGUACACACCGCCCGUCACACCAUGGGAGUUUGUUGCACCAGAAGUAGGUAGUCUAACCGUAAGGAGACG